rnacentral:lncRNA from 1 species
CUAUAGCAUAAAAUCAGCAGCCCAGCUUGCGUCAGUGGCAAACAAGUGCCUGGUGCGCCAUGCUAGGUACCGGCCCAAGAUGAGCGAGGUGCUGGAUAUGGUGCAAAAGAUCGUAGAGAGCAGCGAACUUGGAACACCGGAGCAUCCCCUGAUCAGCAAUUCAAAAGAAUUAGUGAGUGAUGAAAAGAAAAGGAAAGUCCUUGACUUGAAGAGAAGAAUUGCAGAUAUUAAAGCAGGGGAAGGGAGAUGGUUUGCAUGGCAAAGAUGGACGCCCAAGCUUGUGAGAACACAAUGAUUCACAGCAUCAGCAGAUGAGGUGUUCUUGCAUGGCUUGACUUGCAUAGUUAGUAGUGAAAACAGCAAGUGACUAAAAGAUCACCUGAAGUUUUCAUUUAGCAUACAGGUCUGAGAGCAUGACAAGUGUAAACAAACGGUUUGGUGCAGCCUAUGCGGACACUUUCUGUAAGCACAUGUAGGCAGUCUUCUCCACCCACCUGGAGGUUCCAUGUUUUUUAUCAGAGCUUAAUCAAAGAUCUAGGAGUAAUUUUUCCAAGUAGAAGGGUUAUUGUACAGUUUAACUUGGUUUUGUGAAGUGAUUUUUGAGUUGUAUUAAGUGCUAAGGGUAUUCAUGUAGUGUAUGUAGCUCAUUACUUCCUAUGUUUGCAGGUGUUGCACUUUGCAUGCACCUACCUGUAGAAUUCCUGUUUAUCUACAUUUGGCACAGCUGAUAUGCAUAAAAAGAAGAGGGGUAAUAUGUAC